GGAGGGUAUAGCUCAGUGGUAGAGUGCCUGCCUAACAUGCACGAGGUCCUGGGUUCAAUCCCCAGUACCUCCA
rnacentral:tRNA from 1 species